rnacentral:rRNA from 1 species
ACAAGCACCGGCGGACGGCUCAGUAACACGUGGACAACCUGCCCUCGGGAGGGGGAUAACCCCGGGAAACUGGGGCUAAACCCCCAUAGGAGAUGGAUACUGGAAUGUUCCAUCUCCGAAAGUCCGCAAGGAGCCCGAGGAUGGGUCUGCGGCGGAUUAGGUAGUUGGUGGGGUAACGGCCUACCAAGCCUAAGAUCCGUACGGGCCAUGGGAGUGGGAGCCCGGAGAUGGACCCUGAGACAAGGGUCCAGGCCCUACGGGGCGCAGCAGGCGCGAAACCUCCGCAAUGCGGGAAACCGCGACGGGGUCAGCCGGAGUGCCGAUGCUUGCAUCGGCUGUCGGGGAGCCUAAAAAGCUCCCCAUAGCAAGGGCCGGGCAAGGCCGGUGGCAGCCGCCGCGGUAAUACCGGCGGCCCGAGUGGCGGUCACUAUUAUUGGGCUUAAAGCGUCCGUAGCCGGGUUGGGAAGUCCUCCGGGAAAUCUGGCCGCUUAACGGUCAGAAUGCCGGAGGAUACUCCCAGCCUAGGGAGCGGGAGAGGCCGAGGGUAUUCCCGGAGUAGGGGUGAAAUCCUAUAAUCCCGGGAGGACCACCUGUGGCGAA